rnacentral:rRNA from 1 species
GUCCACGCUGUAAACGAUGGAUGCUAGCCGUCAGCAAGCAUGCUUGUUGGUGGCGCAGCUAACGCAUUAAGCAUCCCGCCUGGGGAGUACGGCCGCAAGGUUAAAACUCAAAGGAAUUGACGGGGCCCGCACAAGCGGUGGAGCAUGUGGUUUAAUUUCGACGCAACGCGAAGAACCUUACCAACCCUUGACAUGUCCGGUCGGUUUCCAGAGAUGGACUCCUCCCAGCAAUGGGCCGGAACACAGGUGCUGCAUGGCUGUCGU